rnacentral:lncRNA from 7 species
GUCCGGCCCAAGUUUCAGGUCUAGGUUUGAGCACCGCUGCCACGGCAAUCAAACCAGGAAGAGAGCGAGAGCCGCCGUGGUGAGAACUCCGGUGCGUCCUCGAAGGGACCUCAGGCGCGGGCCAGGAAGCUUCACCAGAUCACGUAGAUGGAGGUCGUGCCUUCGCUAGGUGAGAGGAGAGGCUGGAGGACCCGAAUGUUCCACGCCAAAGUCUAUGUAGUCACCGUGGAUCCGCCUUCGCCGUGGACGGGGCAUAGUGUCACUGGAUUCGCGGUAAGGGCUUUUCUCUGUAGGUUUGCUUUUGCCCAUGCGUCACGUAGCAUCGGAGGUCAUGGGUUGAGGUGCAUUGGGGCAAGCGAAAUCGCUCGCCGGUCUUCAAGAACGUCGCCGAGUUGCUGCUCGUCGCGGAUAGCGAUGUGGCUACCUAAAUUCUCGGUAAGAACCCUAUAAUCUAUUUCGCC